UGGGGUGUAGCCAAGCGGUAAGGCAACGGACUUUGACUCCGUCACUCGUUGGUUCGAAUCCAGCCACCCCAGCCA
rnacentral:tRNA from 1 species